CAGCAGCCACGGUAAUACGAAGGGGGCUAGCGUUGCUCGGAAUGACUGGGCGUAAAGGGCGCGUAGGCGGCGAUCAAAGUCAGGCGUGAAAUUCCUGGGCUCAACCUGGGGGCUGCGUUUGAUACUUGGUUGCUAGAGUGAGGAAGAGGGUCGUGGAAUUCCCAGUGCAGAGGUGAAAUUCGUAGAUAUUGGGAAGAACACCAGUGGCGAAGGCGGCUCACUGGACCGACACUGACGCUGAGGCGCGAAAGCGUGGGGAGCAAACAGGAUUAGAUACCCCAGUAGUCCCUGUCUCUUAUAC
rnacentral:rRNA from 1 species